GACGAACGCUGGCGGCGUGCUUAACACAUGCAAGUCGAACGGAAAGGCCCUGCUUGCAUGGUACUCGAGUGGCGAAAGGGUGAGUAACACGUGGGAGAUCUGCCCUGCACUUCGGGAUAAGCCUGGGAAACUGGGUCUAAUACCGGAGAGGAGCCCUUUUUAUUGUGAUGGUUGGAAAGUUUUUUCGGUGUAGGAUGAGCUCGCGGCCUAUCAGCUUGUUGGUGGGGUAAUGGCCUACCAAGGCGGCGACGGGUAGCCGGCCUGAGUGGGUGGACGGCCACAUUGGGACUGAGAGACGGCCCAGACUCCUACGGGAGGCAGCAGUGGGGAAGAGUGCACCAUGGGCGCAAGCCUGGUUCAGCCACGCCGCGUGGGGGAUGAAGGGCUUUGGGUUGUAAACUCCUUUCGCUCGGGACGAAGCUUUUUGUGACGGUACCUAGAUAAGAAGCACGGGCUAACUACGUG
rnacentral:rRNA from 1 species